rnacentral:rRNA from 1 species
UGAGGUGUUGGGUUAAGUCCCGCAACGAGCGCAACCCCCGCCGUUAGUUGCCAGCGGUUCGGCCGGGCACUCUAACGGGACUGCCCGCGAAAGCGGGAGGAAGGAGGGGACGACGUCUGGUUAGCAUGGCCCUUACGGCCUGGGCGACACACGUGCUACAAUGCCCACUACAAAGCGAUGCCACCCGGCAACGGGGAGCUACUCGCAAAAAGGUGGGCCCAGUUCGGAUUGGGGUCUGCAACCCGACCCCAUGAAGCCGGAAUCGCUAGUAAUCGCGGAUCAGCCAUGCCGCGGUGAAUACGUUCCCGGGCCUU